rnacentral:rRNA from 1 species
AAAAUUUAAAUUAUUUUUGUUUGUGAAGAAACAACAAUAACCAUUAAGGACAAGAAGACCCUAAGAAUUUUUAAUUAAUGAUUACUAACUUAAAUAAAUAAUUAUUAAUUUUAAUUGGGGUGAUUAAUAAAAAUUAAAAACUUUAUUAUAAAAUAAUAUGAACCAUUAAUAAUGGUUUUUUGAAAAAAAUACUCUAGGGAUAACAGCGUAAUAAUUUUUAAUAGUUCAUAUAGACAAAAUAGUUUGCGACCUCGAUGUUGGAUUAGGAUUCUUAUUUAAUGCAGAAGUUAGAUAAAGAA